rnacentral:misc_RNA from 1 species
GAUGAAGAACGCAGCAAAAUGCGAUAAGUAAUGUGAAUUGCAGAAUUCAGUGAAUCAUCGAAUCUUUGAACGCACAUUGCGCCCGCUGGUAUUCCGGCGGGCAUGCCUGUUCGAGCGUCAUUUCAACCCUCAAGCCCCCGGGUUUGGUGUUGGGGAUCGGCUCUGCCCUUCUGGGCGGUGCCGCCCCCGAAAUACAUUGGCGGUCUCGCUGCAGCCUCCAUUGCGUAGUAGCUAACACCUCGCAACUGGAACGCGGCGCGGCCAUGCCGUAAAACCCCAACUUCUGAAUGUUGACCUCGGAUCAGGUAGGAAUACCCGCUGAACUUAAGCAUAUCAAUAAGCGUAGGA